rnacentral:rRNA from 1 species
GAUGAACGCUAGCUACAGGCUUAACACAUGCAAGUCGAGGGACCGGCGCACGGGUGAGUAACACGUAUCCAACCUGCCCUUUACUCGGGGAUAGCCUUUCGCAAGAAAGAUUAAUACCCGAUAUAAAGGAUGGGGAUGCGUUCCAUUGGGUUGUUGGUGAGGGAACGGCUCACCAAGCCUUCGAUGGCUAGGGGUUCUGAGAGGAAGGACCCCCACAUUGGAACUGCGACACGGUCCAAAAUGCUACGGGAGGCAGCAGUGAGGAGUACUGGUCGAGGGGCGCUAGCCUGAACCAGCCAAGUGGCGUGAAGGAUGAAGGCUUAUGGGUCGUAAACUUCUUUUAUAUAAGAAUAUGUAUUAUAUGAAUAAGGAUCGGCUAACUCCGUGCCAGCAGCCGCGGUAAUUC